rnacentral:rRNA from 1 species
AGCAACAAAUGCCCUGCUUCCAGGAAAAGCCUCUAAGCAUCAGGUAACAUCAAAUCGUACCCCAAACCGACACAGGUGGUCAGGUAGAGAAUACCAAGGCGCUUGAGAGAACUCGGGUGAAGGAACUAGGCAAAAUGGUGCCGUAACUUCGGGAGAAGGCACGCUGACACGUAGGUGAAGUGAUUUACUCAUGGAGCUGAAGUCAGUCGAAGAUACCAGCUGGCUGCAACUGUUUAUUAAAAACACAGCACUGUGCAAACACGAAAGUGGACGUAUACGGUGUGACGCCUGCCCGGUGCCGGAAGGUUAAUUGAUGGGGUCAGCGCAAGCGAAGCUCCUGAUCGAAGCCCCGGUAAACGGCGGCCGUAACUAUAACGGUCCUAAGGUAGCGAAAUUCCUUGUCGGGUAAGUUCCGACCUGCACGAAUGGCGUAAUGAUGGCCAGGCUGUCUCCACCCGAGACUCAGUGAAAUUGAACUCGCUGUGAAGAUGCAGUGUACCCGCGGCAAGACGGAAAGACCCCGUGAACCUUUACUAUAGCUUGACACUGAACAUUGAGCCUUGAUGUGUAGGAUAGGUGGGAGGCUUUGAAGCGUGGACGCCAGUCUGCGUGGAGCCGACCUUGAAAUACCACCCUUUAAUGUUUGAUGUUCUAACGUGGACCCGUAAUCCGGGUUGCGGACAGUGUCUGGUGGGUAGUUUGACUGGGGCGGUCUCCUCCUAAAGAGUAACGGAGGAGCACGAAGGUUGGCUAAUCCUGGUCGGACAUCAGGAGGUUAGUGCAAUGGCAUAAGCCAGCUUGACUGCGAGCGUGACGGCGCGAGCAGGUGCGAAAGCAGGUCAUAGUGAUCCGGUGGUUCUGAAUGGAAGGGCCAUCGCUCAACGGAUAAAAGGUACUCCGGGGAUAACAGGCUGAUACCGCCCAAGAGUUCAUAUCGACGGCGGUGUUUGGCACCUCGAUGUCGGCUCAUCACAUCCUGGGGCUGAAGUAGGUCCCAAGGGUAUGGCUGUUCGCCAUUUAAAGUGGUACGCGAGCUGGGUUUAGAACGUCGUGAGACAGUUCGGUCCCUAUCUGCCGUGGGCGCUGGAGAACUGAGGGGGGCUGCUCCUAGUACGAGAGGACCGGAGUGGACGCAUCACUGGUGUUCGGGUUGUCAUGCCAAUGGCACUGCCCGGUAGCUAAAUGCGGAAGAGAUAAGUGCUGAAAGCAUCUAAGCACGAAACUUGCCCCGAGAUGAGUUCUCCCUGAGACUUUAGGUCUCCUGAAGGAACGUUGAAGACGACGACGUUGAUAGGCC